rnacentral:rRNA from 1 species
UACGUAGGGUGCGAGCGUUAUUCGGAAUUACUGGGCGUAAAGCGUGCGCAGGCGGUCUGCUAAGACAGGUGUGAAAGCCCUGAGCUCAACUUAGGAAUUGCGCUUGUGACUGGCAGGCUAGAGUACGGUAGGGGGGGGUGGAAUUCCUGGUGUAGCAGUGAAAUGCGUAGAUAUCAGGAGGAACACCGAUGGCGAAGGCAGGCCACUGGGCCUUUACUGACGCUCAGGCACGAAAGCGUGGGGAGCGAACAGG